rnacentral:rRNA from 1 species
AGAGUUUGAUCCUGGCUCAGGAUUGAACGCUGGCGGCGUGCCUAAUACAUGCAAGUCGAACGAGGAGCCCUGAUACGUGUAUUCGUACUCGUGGAUGGGAUUUCCUAGUGGCGAACGGGUGAGUAACGCGUUGGUGACCUGCCUCGAAGCGGGGGAUAACUCCGGGAAACUGGAGCUAAUACCCCAUGUGGUCGUAGUUUUUAGAAAUCUACGUCUAAAGGAGCAAUCCACUUCGAGAGGGGCCUGCGUCCCAUCAGCUAGUUGGUAGGGUAAUGGCCUACCAAGGCAUACGGGUAGGGGACCUGAGAGGGUGGCCCCCCACACUGGAACUGAAACACGGUCCAGACACCUACGGGUGGCAGCAGUAGGGAAUAUUGCACAAUGGGCGAAAGCCUGAUGCAGCAACGCCGCGUGUGCGGAUGAAGGCCUUCGGGUUGUAAAGCACUUUUCUGAGGGAAGAAGGAGGCGGUCCUCAGGAAUAAGUCUCGGCUAACUACGUGCCAGCAGCCGCGGUACACGUAGGAGGCAAGCGUUAUCCGGAUUUACUGGGCGUAAAGCGCGUGUAGGCGGUUUGGCAAGUCGGAUGUGAAAGCUCCUGGCUCAACUGGGAGAGGUCGUUCGAAACUGCUAGACUAGAGGACGGUAGAGGAAGAUGGAAUUCCCGGUGUAGUAGUGAAAUGCGUAGAUAUCGGGAGGAACACCAGUGGCGAAGGCGGUCUUCUGGGCCGGUCCUGACGCUGAGACGCGAAAGCAUGGGUAGCGAACGGGAUUAGAAACCCCGGUAGUCCAUGCCGUAAACGAUGCAAACUUGGUGUCGGUGGUGUAAAAACCGUCGGUGCCGAAGCUAACGCGAUAAGUUUGCCGCCUGGGGACUACGGCCGC